rnacentral:misc_RNA from 1 species
GUAGGUGAACCUGCGGAAGGAUCAUUACCAAAUCCAAAUACCUUAAACCCCUUGUGAACUUUUGUUUUAGUCUGUCUUUGGGAGAAAAACCGAAGAUAAUUAGAUUUUUCUUUUUAUCUACAGUUUUUCUCCCAAUAGAGUCCGGCGCAACCGUUGGUUUGUGUCCAGAUUCGAAAAACCCCCUCAAUUUUUUAAAACCACUUGAUUUUUUCUGUUGGAAUUUCCUUUUAUUAAUUUUAAAUAAAAGACAACUUUUAACGGUGGAUCUCUUGGCUCGU